AAAUGCAUAUGGAGUACUCAAGCUGAACAAGCCAAUUGGAUGGUAGAAUAUGCUAUCAGGCUUAAAGUUUAUAUUGAGGUUUGAAGAGAAAAUAUAGAAAAGUAAGGGCCGAAGGUAAAUAGAAAUAUAGAAUACUGAAAUGUGUUUAACUAAACAUCAAGCAUUCAUUUGUGCACUUCCUCAUCUAAAAUAAUCAUAUCAGUUCUAUUAUCCUUUAUCUCACAUUCUCACAAGUGCACUGUGCCAGUCAGUGGUCCUGCUAUCUGAACUUCAUUGCUCUUAUUUUGGUUCAUUUCUUUGCAACAUUUUAUUCCUAUUGUAGCCUUCAAUCAGUUUUAGCCUUUUGAAUCAUUCUGUAUGUUUAGCCUUUAAUCAGUUUGCAUUUCCCCCUUAUUUUGAUACAUUGCUCUACAACAGUUUAUUCUUAUUGUGUUACAGGUACUUCAAUUGUAAGUGCAUGCUUACGGAGUUCUAUCAUGCACAAUCAUGUGUGCACACCGGUCUAUCCAGAAGAUUAGCUCGCGACCCUCUCCGCCGGCUCCCUGGGGGUCGCAUCCGGCUUGCCGCAAGUACACCUACGCCGCCGCCUCCCCGGGGGCCGCAAGAUGAAGUGGACGACCGGGGAGAAGGCAUGUGGCGGGGGGCAGGCUCUCAAGUGGGAGACAGAGCUCGCCUCCCCCAACGACGACAACUUCGACCUCAAGUGGAAGUGGGAGGCCAAGUCCAAGCCUGGCGCCGUUGGCAAGGCCAAAACCAAGUGGGGCACCGAGGAAGCCAACAAGGAUGACAAGAAGAAGCCGGCGAGGAAGUGUGUCCAGAGCAAGGAGAUCCCCGUUGGCUGGACGUCCAGAUCGAGCUACUCAACCUAGCCCUGAAUAUAAUGCCUCGUGACUCCACCCCCGGCUACACCAUUUAUUAUCUAUCCUAUUGUGAUGUGUGUUUUAUUCCUCUCACAUGCAUUCCUUUUUGUGCUUUAUGUGAUUUUGUUUUUGUUCUAAUGCAUGCAAUAGACUUCAUUUGAUAGACGCAAUAAUAGGAACUGGCUUCUAUGGUGUACGAGACAAGCUCAAGCACUACAAGGACACAAUGGGCAUUGUCUCUAAUGAGUUGUGGAAAUAGGGCAUACCAUUAAGUAUUAGAACCAUCAGAAGGUAAUGAUGGGGCAAAACUUCUCUAGGAAAGGACUUGCCAUCCCCUUCCAAUACAACUCGGCGUCACCGGGUAAGACGCUGAUACAUUACAAGGCAGAUCUCAGCUGAACUCUCCCUCCCCGCCCUGGAGUCCAAGCGUUUGUGGCCUACAUCCGUGAGCUCCAUGUCUCCGUCCCUCCACCAAGCAGCGGCACACACACAAGGGGAUCAAGCCCAACCAAAUGGAUGAUGCUCCUUCCUGCCACACCCCUGUGUCCCGUUCAGGUUGCAUGUAUGAAUAUCCAAGUGGGAUGCUUGAUCUAUUUACUGAAACAAGACGUGUUUAUAUAUGUCAAAAUGUCUGUUGGAGAGGCACGAAAGCGCAAAGGUCGUGAUGUGUAAGGAUUUAAUCAAGGAGACAACCCGGUAGAGCUAUCAAGUGUUAGGGUAUAGCCUAACUAAGUAGGUUUAUUAUCUCCCAUUGCAUCUCUCUUGAUCAAGACAUGCCAUGACCUGGUUUAUUGUAUUUGUUAUGUUAUAAUGGAUUGUCUUGGCUUGCUUUUGGACUAAAGCCUUUUGUAGUUGUCUGGAUCAAUUGCUAUGUACUGGA